ensembl:lncRNA
AACCUGUGAAAGCUGUCUGAGAAUUUCUCCUUGAGACCACAGCUUCAUAUAUAAAGCUUUGGCUUUUCUGUUUUUUUUCUCUCUUUUUUGUGUUGGGGGGGGCGGUUUUCAAGACAGGGUUUCUCUGUAUAGCUUUGUUGACCAGAGUUCGGUCUCUGUGAGUUCGGUCUCCAGAGCUAGUUCCAGGACAGGCUCCAAAGCUAUACAGAGAAACCCUGUCUCGAAAAACCAAAAAAAAAAAAAAAAAAAAAGAAAAAAGAAAGAAACCACCACCCCUUAUUCCAUCCAGGGCAACGUGGAAGCCAAGAGAUUCACUCACAUUUGUGUGGUGGUUCUUCUUAGAUAGUGGAGGGAGAAGCUAAAACCUUAAAAGCUGAUGUGAGCAUCUGAGGUACUACAAAUGUCUCAGGUGGCUUAAAGUGUUCAGGAGACACUGACAUCUCUGCAGUAAGCAGUGUUCACGGGGAUGGUAGCAGGGAGAAGGAAGUGCCUGCCUGAGGCUCGUGCUCUUGGUCUGUGAAGGGGCCACCCAAGCCCUUCCAGCAGAAUCCACACUAACAUCAGACAAGUGCCCCUUGGGGGUGCUGCUGAGGCUGAAGGCACAGCUGCUUGAGACUUACUGAUGCUUCUAGCUGGUGAGCCAGCAUGGCACAGAGUAAGUACCAGGAGGCCUGUCACCUCUGUGAUUCCACCCAGUGCUACCUGUGGAGAGAAUGAUCUUCAGAGCCUUGUUCUCCAGUGUGUCGUCAGCCUCGGAAGGCUGUGGUCAGCCAGGAGGUUGGUGUAUUUGAGGAUUUUCCUCGGUAGCUGUGAAAAGGUCAGGAAUGUGUUCUCACAUCUCUUACCUCAGAUUCCCUUCCUCCAGAAGAAGCAGCAGUAUUUCUAAUAUUGCAGCCCACUGUCUCUGUAGGAUGGGCGUUUGUCUGUGUACUUUCACCUUCACCAGAGGCUGCACUUCAGCUGGGUUCUUUGGUUGUUUUGUUAACAUAUUGUUGGCUGGCCAAGAAUUCUAUUAAGUAAUGGAGACUGGCUUCGAACUCAUGAUCCAUCUGCCUCCACCUCCCAAGUAUUCAUUUAGUUGUUGGUUUUCAACACAGGGUUUCUCUGUGUUUCUCUGGCUGUUCUAGAAUUCACUCGGCAGACCAGCUGGCCUGAAACUCACAGAGAUCGCCUGCUUCUGCCUCCCCAGUGCUGGGAUUAAAGGCGUGCGCCACCACUGCCUGGCUCUAAAAUAAAUCUUUAAAAAAUAAAAUUGACAGAGGGAACUGGGAGGUUACAGAGUGCCUAGGAUAGAAGCCCAGAUAUCUAUUAAAUUCACCUGGACAUUCUCUUCCUAAGGUUCUGUAAUCUACAACAACACUUAGGUUACUAGCACGGGAAUUUUUGAGUAGGUACUAUUAGAAAAAUCAUAAAUUUCCAGCUGUGGUUCCAAGUUCCCCAAAUGUGUAUGUUUAGCUUGUCUGCCUCUGGAGUUUUUGCCCUUGGACUGUGUGUUUAUAGACUAUUGCUGGAGUCUUGGGUAUGGAUUAUGCACCCACCACCCUAAGGGCAAUAUGUUCAGGAAGCCAUGUGGGUGGUAGCAUGUUUCAUGAAGCACAGAAGGCCCACUGGCUCACUCCAGAAGAAUAGAGGUGGGCUGGCAGGGCUGGGACAGAUGGAAUGGAAUGUUUCACACAGUUGAUCUGAGAUGAUCUGUUGCGUUUCAUUGUAUUUUUUGUGUGUGGGUAUUUUGCUUGCUUGUGCGUCUGUGCACCACAUGCAUAUGGUGCUUUCAGAAGCCCUAGGAUGUCAGAGUCCUUGGGGCUGAAGUUACAGAUAGUUGUGAGCAGCAAUGUGUACUGGGUAUUGAAUCCAGACCUCUGGAAGAGCAGCCAGUGCUGUUAACCACCCAGCCAUUUGUCUAGUCCUAAGAAGGAAUCGUUGUACUCACAAGCGCCAGAGGGAGUGAUCGGGCCACCUGAGAACACCUGGGUUUUCACUUGUUCUUUCCAUAGGAUUCCUGUUCGUUACCAGCCAAGCCAGGAGACUUGGGGGGCUCCUAACUGGCUCCUCUUCUUCCCUCCUGUUCUGUCCCUGGUGCUGUUUUUAGUACUGCUGUUCUCAUUCAUCUGGUCCCCUUGAGCCCAGAUGAGCCCUUUUGUCAUGCGGGUGCUCCUGUCUCCCUGACCAGAACACUGUUUCUGUUCUCUUGGAGCCUCCCUACCGCCCCCUUGGCUUCACCCCACUCAGGCCUCCUGAUCUGUUGUCAGUUCUGUGUCUCUGACUAUUGGUUUCUUCAGACACAAAAACCUCUUACCUGUGCUACCUUUCACUAGAGGAGGGGUGAUUCACAGGGACCCACCCUUCCCGCAGAGUUGGGACUUUUGCAUAGGGGAUUUUUCUGUCAUCUAUUUUUUCCUCACCCUUUGGGAGUAUGAAAAGAACUGAGGCUUAUGUGAGGAGGGGUGGGGACAGUGAUUGCACGUCCUGGGAGUUCUCUG